CGCUGUGAACUUAGUGUAAACAAUGGCUACAUUUAAAAUUAAUAGUAGCUUACAAGAUAUUUAAGCACAAUAAAUAUGUGAAUAAAUGCUAUAAUUAAAUUAAAUCAAGGUACAUUUCUUUUGUAUUUGUAGUACUAAAAUUUAGUAGUUGCCCUAUUUCAUAGUUUUCACUGUGUCCAACACUUCUAAGCGCACUUCAUCUAAGAUAUAAUGUAAAAAUAAUAAACAUAAUACUAUUAAAGCAAUGCAAUUUAAAUGCUAUCAAAAAUCUGCUGUAAGUGAAUUUCAAAUAUUUGACCAAUAUAUUAGAACAUAACUUCAUAAAUUUCUAUAAAAGUAGCACUUGAGCUUUAAACAAUAAACAUUCAAAAUAUAAUGACAAGCUCUCAUCUUCAGGCUAUGGAUACUAUUAAUUUUUUUAUGGCUUACUAUCAAGUCAAAAUUCUCAUUAUUUUAAUUAUAAAAUUUUUUUCUUGUUUUAGGAAAUUUUGAUAGAGCUGUGAAGAAAAUAUGUAAGAUUGAAAAGUACUGAGCUGAUCUUUCAUUAUCAGCCGAAGAAAUAAAAUCUAAAACAUAAUAAAAAAUGUUUUAUUCUAAUUAAGAUUCUGUAAACAGUGAUUUCAAGGAAGGGAUUGAGAAAAGUACGGACUUACUAAAUAUUUCCAAGCAUCCAGAUCACAAAAUUAUAUGAGAAGCUUUUCAUAAAUUUAUCAUUAAAAAGCUCAAUGAAGAAGCCAUUAAUAAUCCAUCAUCGAUAUUACUUAAGGGAGAAGUUUUUCCUUUAGGAAAAGUAAGAGGUCAUAAAAUUGAAUCCAAAUAUUCAGCUGUUCUACACGCAAUGAAGGUCUUGAAGUUGUCGCAGUUGCAUAGGUUACGCAAUUUUCAGACAUGUAUUAACAAAUGUAUAGUAGAGCUAUAUGUCAAUCGAUUUGAUAUUCAAAUAUUUAUUGUAAUAUUAUAUUAUUGUAUUUUCUUAUAAGUUAUAACUUCCUAGAUGGUUAGAAAUUUUGUUAUUGGAUUGUAUAAUAUAUGUACCUAAAUA